GAUGAAGAACGUAGCAAAAUGCGAUAAGUAAUGUGAAUUUCAGAAUUCAGUGAAUCAUCGAAUCUUUGAACGCACAUUGCGCCCGCCAGUAUUCUGGCGGGCAUGCCUGUUCGAGCGUCAUUUCAACCCUCAAGCACAGCUUGGUGUUGGGACUCGCGUUAAUUCGCGUUCCCCAAAUUGAUUGGCGGUCACGUCGAGCUUCCAUAGCGUAGUAGUAAAACCCUCGUUACUGGUAAUCGUCGCGGCCACGCCGUUAAACCCCAACUUCUGAAUGUUGACCUCGGAUCAGGUAGGAAUACCCGCUGAACUUAAGCAUAUCAAUAAGCGGAGGA
rnacentral:misc_RNA from 1 species